UACGUAAGGUCCGAGCGUUGUCCGGAAUCAUUGGGCGUAAAGGGUACGUAGGCGGAUAAGCAAGUUAGAAGUGAAAUCCUAUAGCUCAACUAUAGUAAGCUUUUAAAACUGCUCAUCUUGAGGUAUGGAAGGGAUAGUGGAAUUCCUAGUGUAGCGGUGAAAUGCGCAGAUAUUAGGAGGAAUACCGGUGGCGAAGGCGGCUUUCUGGACAGAGACUGACGCUGAGGUACGAAGGCGUGGGGAGCAAAUAGG
rnacentral:rRNA from 1 species